UGCCAGCAGCCGCGGUAAUACGGAGGGUGCAAGCGUUAUCCGGAUUUAUUGGGUUUAAAGGGUUCGUAGGCGGGAUAGCAAGUCAGUGGUGAAAUCCUGCAGCUUAACUGUAGAAUUGCCAUUGAUACUGCUGUUCUUGAGUGCACUUGAGGUGGGCGGAAUGUGUCAUGUAGCGGUGAAAUGCUUAGAUAUGACACAGAACACCGAUUGCGAAGGCAGCUCACUAAAGUGUAACUGACGCUAAUGAACGAAAGCGUGGGUAGCGAACAGGAUUAGAUA
rnacentral:rRNA from 1 species